CAUCUCUCUCGGUCUUUAGGCCCUGCCCUGUCUGACGAAGAACUUUCUUUCACCACAUUCUUUGAUAUUUGUUGCGCUCCAUCGAUCCCAACUCCCAAGACUUUCACAAUUUGCAGCAAUUUUCAUUUUUCAAAUUUCUACAGGGUGCCCCCGACCUCCCCUCUUACUUUCUCCUGCUUCCCAAGCAACAAGCUCUUAUUACUCUUUUGAUUUGUACAUAAACAAACGAUUAAUAGGGGAGGGGAAGGAAUGGGAGAAGGGAGAGAAGGAGACUGGGAGUGCAGUGUAUGCAAGAACAGGAACUAUGCCUUUAGAUCCUUCUGUAACAGAUGUAAGCAGCCUCGUCUUCUCGUUGACACCAAAACUCCUGCUGAUUCCAAAUGGCUUCCUCGUAUUGGUGAUUGGAUCUGCACUGCUUGCACUAACAACAAUUAUGCAUCAAGAGAGAAGUGCAAAAAGUGCGGGCAACCAAAGGAGAUUGCAGCAAUGCCAGCAAUUGCAAUGCCUGGAGCUUCUCUCCCAACCUAUUCACAUUAUUUUGCAAGGGCCCUAGGAGCACUGGAGCAAAAGAUGAAUGUUGGAUUUGUAGGCAGUGGUGCUCCCCAACAGUUCCUUCCUUUGAGUUCCAAUUGGUCUGUGGGAGGGGCUGAUAAUUGUGGACUUCAGUCAGCACCAACAUGGCCUGUUGCUGGAAACCAAUCUCCUGGGGCAUAUGCAAAUCCUGGUAAUCAGCCCCUUUCUGUUCCAAAGGGAUGGCGAAAUGGUGACUGGAUUUGCAACUGUGGCUUCCAUAAUUACUCUUCACGUUCACAGUGCAAAAAUUGCAAUGCAUCCAUACCACCAGCACUUGGAACUAAGCGAUUAGCAUCUGAAGAAUUUGUACAUGAUUGGGAUCAUAAAAGAUUAAAUUUAGGAAAUGGCAAGGACGAACAACUGUAUCCUGGAUUUGACCAAAUGGUAGGAGCCACCAGUGACCCAAAACCUGGAGCAUAUCCUUCCUAUCCCAGUAUAAAUCCUGCUGUGGCUUCAAAUUGGCCAGCACCCAUUCCGUUUCCUCCUCAAGCUGCAACAACUCUUCUUGGAAAAGGCGCAAAACAAUGGCGUAGUGGAGAUUGGAUGUGUGCAAAAUGCAACAAUCACAAUUAUGCAUCUCGAGCUCAAUGCAACAGGUGUAAGACUCAGAGAGAGACAGUGACUUAGCUGGUAAAUGCUGCAGUGUUGCCAUUUAAUGCCAGUUUUGAUUCAUAAGAAUUUUUCUAGCACAGUGCGCAGAGUACUCAAACAAAAACAGCAACAACAAAACUAGACGUCAGAUAUUUAGUGUAAGAACAUGGAAUCAUUAGAAAAGAGUCACUUGUUUCUGUCUUGCCGAAGGUGUGGUAUAUGGAGGCCGCUUAAGCAAUUUGCAAGACUACGGAAAUAAAAGUUGUCUUUGAGCUGGUGUAUGGCCCAAUGGAUCCCUCUCUACCAUUCUACUACCCUCCUCAGUAAUCCCCAAAGCUGCAACAUUUGCCGUCCUAUGAUUUUUUUAAUUUUUAUUUGGGGAAUAUCUGCAGCUCCAGAAGAUGUGGUUCCUUGACGCCAAGUCUUGUCUACUUAACAUGCUUAGGGAUAUAGAGAGUGCACCAAACAAAUCGAUGGCACCCCACCUCCUGAAAUUUAGGUGUAAGAGCUUCCCAAGCUGUAGCUGUAGAAGAGGUGUACCCAGGUACACUUCAGAUGACUCCUUGCUCAAACCUGAUCAAGAACGAUGUGACUAUUCCCUUCAUGUUAAGUAAUUGCCUCAUGCUCCACACAGAUCUCUUCCUUUCAACACAUGGGAUUGGGGCCAUCCUAUCUACAAUGAUCCAAAUAUCAUGAAAAAGGCUCAUAAGUGCUUGAGAAUGCAUGGCGGCUCAAGAGCAUCCUUUGAUUCUGGUUCGCCAAUCCACUUGUUUGUUCCUUCCAGGAGAAACUAGAGCAUAGGUAAAUAACAAGUGCCUGCACCAAUAAUUAUGUAGGUUGAAAAGAAUAAGACCGAAUCAGUUGUAGGCUGUCCAACUAGUGACCGAUCCUUGGUUACUACGGUAGCGUAUGGAAAGAGUGCCAAGUUUGAAUUCAGUAGCUUGUAGGUCUCUUUGCUGGAUACGUGAGUAAAAACUCACUUUGGGUGUUGUUGGGUUGUUGCCAAAUAGGUGCUAAAACAAAUCUGCAAUGAACUCUAUACUCACAGCACAGAAUCUAGGCUGCCUUUGGUGAAGAUUAAAACAUCAUCUGCAAAACGUAAAUCCGUCACUCUCUACAUUUGGAACAUACUUUGUUAUCUGCAGCAACGACUUCUCAAUCUUGAAAUACAUUUUUACUGGUAUUUUAAUAAUAUAAAAUUGUGACUUACCACAAUGAAAAUAUGCAUUAACAUUCUAUAAUGAAAAGCUAGACGUCUUU